AUCAUGAGUAAUGGGAAUUUCCAGAUCCUUUGAGGAGAAAACAUCAUUAUCAAGUCUGACGAGCUCCCAGGAGACAGACUGAUUGAUAGACGACAGGGGCUCUCCCACUACCGCUAAUAUCCAACGAACUCAUGAAGCCAGUAAGAGCCCAUCAUAGACAGUAGAAGAAAAGCGCAUCAUCCAGGACUGAAGGAGAGUGAUAGCCUCAUGACGAUGACGGCAGCCACAGAGACUUCAAGAAGGAACAUGGACCAGUACGUUGUGUUCAGAAAGGACAAGAGAGUUUGUCUUCGCGAUGAGGACAUGACUACCGAAAAAUUAAGUCGGAUCUUUCAGGUCUCAAGUCACAGUCUGUAUCUAACAGAUGACUCCAACGUGGCUAUAUUUGCUGGAGAGAUAUCUGGCGCAUUCAGCUCAUUCGACCUGAGCCCAAGGGGGCAUUAUGAAGUACACGGCGAGGACGAUGUCGCCUCAGGGUCAACCACAACGGGGCAACGCUUUGCCUUCACACGACCUUCGAGUACAGUCACCAGUGGCUCAUUGCGGGGUGCCUCAGCCCUCCCCAGAGCCACUUCCAAAUUAUUUCAAAAGUAGCAUUAAGUUACGUAUGAAACCAUAAAUAACAUACUGUAUAUAACAGAUUUUGUUGCACACAAGCACCAUUAGCCAUUCUUUGAGUCGUUUGUAGACUCUAUUAUCUAGUUAUUGUUGAUAUACAAAGUAGUGGAAGGUAGUCAACUAGGCUAAAUAAUUUUAUUUAAGUAGGCUACUGAGCAUUUUAAUUUGCUUCUAUACUUCUACCAAUACAUUUCAUAGCAAAUAUUGAAAUUGUUACUCCACAAUAUUUGCUAUACACAAUAUUAAUAUUUACUCCACAAUAUCUUACAUAAGACCAUUAAGCAUUGCUAGGUGUCAUGGUUUGUGUUCAUGUGUCUCCCGUUCGUGUCUUGUGUGAUGUCAUUCCCUGUCUUGUCAUGGGGUCUGGCAUGUUCCUUUAGUGGGAAUUUGGUUUGUGUUUUAUUUUGAAGUCUGUGUCUCCCCUCUGUGUGUCUCACCUGUUUUGAUUACCCCUCUUCUCCCUGUGUAUUUAAACCCUGUGUUUCCCCUAAAUCUUCAUUGGAUCGUCUGUUACUUGUCAUUUGUCCCUGCUUGGCCCUCUUGUGCUGUUCCUCCAGUGAGAAAAAAAGAUAUUCUUCCAGGUCAGUGUUCCUUGCUGAGGUGGUUGGUGGGAAGCUGAAUCCUAGCAGAAUGGUGGUGGUGAGGUUUUUAGAGUGCGAGGCUUCUCUUCGGGGGAUUACCACAAAAGUACAGGAUGCCAUUGGAAGUCAUGAGCCUUUAAUAUUGACUGAUGCACAGGGCAACGCCAUUGUGGAGUCAGAGGGAACAACAGGGUUGUCUUACUGGAAACAAAACUCAAGAAAGGUUCUUGCUGUUCCAGAAAAGGACUUUAGAGAGCUGCAGGGCACCAAAAGAAGGAGAAUGAGCUGAAAAGAUGAAGAUGUUGGAAGCAUUGCAGAGGUCACAGAGAAAAUCGAAGACCUAGUCUUUGCAUCUCAGAGUCUCCCGGAUGUCACUUCAACAAUCAGGGAGCUCACCAGUCUGGCUGCAGCUCAAAAAGUGACCCUGACUCGUUCACAGCUACAAACCAUUAAGCAGGGGUUCUCCUGUGUUAUUUGCUUAAGUACCCAAUGGAUCUAUUCUAUAU